rnacentral:snoRNA from 1 species
AUGAUCAUACUAUAAGAUCAAUUCUAUAUGAUUACUUUCAGUCUAAAUAUCUAGAAACUCGGAUCAAAUUCAACCACCAUGAAGAUUUUCAGUGUCAUCCUCUGAGCGGAAGCUGCUCUUAAGUUCAUUUUAAAACGUGACUGACCGUUCAGCUUCGGCCUGUCCAUGUUCCAGAGAGGAUGACACAGGCUGAAAUGGU